CCCAGAGCUAAAUCUGGCUCGGAGGCAGCUGGGCAGCAGCUGAAGCCUCCUGUCUCCCUCCUGGGCGGCGGCAGCUCCCGGAGCCGGCAGGCGAUGCUCGGAAAUUGCGUUUUCCCUGCAGGGUUUCCCGGCUGGGCGCAGUUUUCCCGUGCGUCCCUUUUCCCGGAGGAGCAGCAGGAACGCCUUGGAACGCCUUGGGAUGCCUUGGGACACCUUGGGACACCUUGGGACGCCGGUCCCGAGCUGGGGAAGUGCCGUGGCUGCCGGCUCGGGAUGGAGCCGCAGUUGUCCCUCCGUCAGCUCCCAGCUGGCAGCUGCUGCUAAACCUCCCUUUCAUCGCCGGCCAAAAGAGGCCGGGGUGUUUUGCUCCCCCCCCACCCCCGCCCUUUAAUCCUGACUUUCAUCAUUCUCCAGGCUGGGCCUGCCCUCCCCUCCGUGGGAUGGGCAGGGUCGGGGGGCAGGAGCUGUGUCUGGGCUCGGCCCUUCCCCCCAGACCCUCACCCCAAACCUUCUCUGGGCUGCCCGUGGUCGGAGGCAGCAGGAGAGCAAUGGGUUAACCCGCAGGGAUGUGGGGAUGCCCACGAUGGGAGCUGCUGCUGGGCUGGGGAGGAUGUCUGGGCCGGCUGCAGAGGUGCUUCCUGCACGUAAGAGAAUCGGCUUGUUUAAUUUCAGGAUUUUGGGAACGAGACCAAACAUCAAACAGCGUCAGUGCGAGGGGCGGCCUCUGCUCCUGCAGCCGCCGCUCUCCCGGUGCCGCCAGUUCCGUGCCACCGAGCCGACCCAGCUCCUGCUGCGCGGGCACAUCCAGGGCCGGCAGGAGCGGAUCCCCGGGCUCUGGCACCCAGGGAAAACUCUGGCUUUGCCUGCUCCUAGAGCGGGGCAGGAACUUUGUCCCAGCGCCGCGUCCCCUCCAGCACAGGCGGCACAGGAGCAAAACCACGUUUCCCCCCAUUGUCCUCGCCCCAUCCCUGACGGAGCUGGGAGCGGGGUUCGGCUGCGGCCGCCCCUGCUGCUGCCGUUCAGGGCUUGACUUUGGCCAGACCUGGGAGCAGCCGGGCUGUCUGGAGCCGGCUGGGCUCGGCUCGGAGCUGGGCUCGGUGCCAGCAGCUUUCCCAAGCGCCCGGGUCACGGCGGGGCGGCUGAGAGCCGGCACGGAGCAGGGUGGCGCUGCCCUGGCGCGGCCGCUCGCCCCCUGCCCGCUCCCGGCCGGGGGCUCCCCCUCCUACCGGUGGCUCUGGGGGCUCUCGGGGAUGCGGGAUGCGUUUGUCCCACCCGGUUUGCCCGCGCUCAGCACAUUCCUGCGGCGCUGGGAUAUCGCUGGGAUAUCGCUGGGUGUCCGCGGCUGCAGCGCCCUGGGGCUCGCAGCAGGAACUCUGCACACAGGGAGCACAAGGGGUGCUUUAAUGGCUUUGAACGGAAGGAGGGGAGAUGGAGGUUGGAGAUUAGGAGGGAAUUCUUGGCUGUGAGGGUGGUGAGACCCUGGCAGCUGCGGCUGCUCCGUUCCUGGGAGUGCUCGGAGCCGGCUUGGAGCAGCCUGGGAUAAUGGGAAGUGUCCCUGCCCGCUCCCCAGGGGAGGGCGACUGGAUGUCUAAAGUCCCCUCCAGCCCACACCAUUCCAGGAUUCUGUGAUUUUAUGGAUCACCCAUGUCCCACCACCCCGGGCAGCUGCUGGAAUCCCUUUUCCUUCCCCAGCAAGUCCCUGCCCGGCUCCCAGCAGCUCCUGGUGCCUGUGUGAAUUAAUUCAGGGCAGCAGAACCCUGUGCUGCUCCUGGCAGGGACAUUCCCUCUGCCCUGCAUGCACCCCCAGCCCUUCUCCCUGCAGCAACAGGCGCUUUUCCCACCCUGGGAAAUGCACGUGGGAAUCAACUGGCCAGGCAGCACCGGGCAAAGUCCAGGAUGGGGACAGAGUAAAGUAAAAAACAAACUUUGUCCAUUUGAUGGCAGCGAGGGGCCAUAAACCAGCGCACGAGUGGCACUUCUGAGAGGGAACAGUGCACAUGGGAUCAGGGAACGGGGGUGGCUCAGCCCCCGGUCACAGUUACCUCCACGGGUGUUCCUGUGGGCAGUGGGGAGCUCAGGGGGACGUUAAAUCAUUAAUCUGGAUUCGUUUUGUCUCCUGUAAGUGCACGGAGUGGGAAGAGUGUUUGGGAAGCAAAGGGGAAGGACCUUGGAGUGAAGCCCAGGGUUUGAUGGUCAUUGCAGUAGAGAUAAUGAAACUGAGGUGUUUGUUCAAAGCAGAUUUAAAAAAAUAAAUUAAAAUAUAUAAUAUAAAAUGUAUAUAAUGCUUGUGAGACCCCAUUUCAGAGCUUCCUCCAGCCCUGGGGAACAACAUCAGCAGCACCAGGAGCUGCAGGAGAGAGUCCUGAGGAGACUCUGGGGCUGCUGCAGGGCUGGAGCCCCUCUGGAGCCAGGCUGGGAGAGAGGAGAAGGAUCCAGGCAGAGCUCAGAGCCCCUGGCAGGGCCUGAAGGGGCUGCAGGAGAGCUGGAGAGGGGCUGGGGACAAGGGAUGGGGGGGGACAGGACACAGGGAAUGGAUCCCCAGAGGGCAGGGCUGGGUGGGAUUUGGGGAGGAAUUGUUCCCUGGGAGUGUGGAGAGGGGCUGGGAUGGAAUUCCCAGAUUUGCUGUGGCUGCCCCUGGAUCCCUGGCGGUGCCCAAGGCCAGGCUGGAUGGGUUUGGAGCAUCCCUGGCUGGGUUUGGUCCCUGCUUGCUCAUGGACAGGGGACAGGGGUGGGGACAGGGACAGGGACAGGGACAAAGAUGGGCACGGGGACAGGGACACAGAGAUGGGGACAGGGACAGACACAGGGACAGGGUCAGGGGUGGGGACAAGGGACAAGGACAGGGACAGGUGACAGGGACAAGGAUGGGCACAGGGACAGGGACACAGGGGUGGGGACAGGGACACAGGGACGGGGACAGGGACACAGGGACGGGGUCAGGGGUGGGGACAAGGACAGGGACAGGUGACAGGGACAAGGAUGGGCACAGGGACAGGGACACAGGGGUGGGGACAGGGACACAGGGACGGGGACAGGGACACAGGGACGGGGUCAGGGGUGGGGACAAGGACAGGGACAGGUGACAGGGACAAGGAUGGGCACAGGGACAGGGACACAGGGGUGGGGACAGGGACACAGGGACGGGGACAGGGACACAGGGACGGGGACAGUGACGCGGACACGGGACGCUGCCGCUGUCGCUCCGGUGCCCUCUGGCGGCCGCACCGGGGGCAGCACCCGGGAGCUCAAGCGGACUCCGCGGUUCCGGCGCUGCAGGAAAAACGCGAGGUUUUAAAUCUCAAAUGUAAUUUUGCAGCAAUGAAAACAGAGAAUGGCCAGCCCAGCCUUUAAUCCCGCGAUCCUGACGUGGAGAGCCUGGUGGGAGCGGUGGGUUUGGGGUCUCUUCGUUUGGUCUGUUUGGUUUGCUUCACUCCGGGGCUGCAGGCUGAGCGCCACCCACAUCCCAAGGAGCCACUCGGGCUGCAAAACCAGAGGGAAAAGGCUGAGAAACCAUCCCACGGAGGAUGGAGGCAGUGGGAGCAGGGUGGGAUGGAGCUCAGGACAUCCCAUCCGCGUGGCAUCUCCACACCGAACCUGUCCAGAGAGCAGAGGAGCCCCGGGGGAACGCGGGGUUUGUGCCCCAAGCCCAGAAGCUCUUUAGGAGGAAUUAGAGGCGGUGAAACAAGAGGAAAAAUGCAGCAGCACGUGGCCCAGGGCAGCUGCAGGGAGCUGCUUCCUGCCUGGCCUCACGGAGCAGCAAUGUCCCCCGGGCAGGAGCGGGGCUGGGGGCUCCUGGAUGGCGCCGUGUCACCGGGGUGUGGGUGACAAUGCUUUCCACCCCCCACGGGGGGAGGAGGACCUGGCCCCACUUUCCGAAGCAGCAGAUUGCAGGCCAAUCCUUUAACGUGUACCGACAACAAGGGUGAUUUAUUUUUCUUGAGAAAAUACACGCUUUUAAAUUAAAUACAUGUGAUUUUCUAGUUAGAAUUAGGAUUAGUUGAGAUGGUCUUUAUGGUCCCUUCCAGCCCAAACCAUUCUGUGAUCCAGUAAUCUGAACGUGUGCCACGGAUGGGACGCCUGCAGUGCCACUAUGGGGACAAUGCCCAUGGUGCCACCAGCCCGGGGACAAUGCCCAUGGUGUCACCAGCCUGGGGACAACCCCCCCCCCCCCCCCCCCCCCCCCCCCCCCCCCCCC
rnacentral:lncRNA from 1 species